rnacentral:rRNA from 1 species
CCUACGGGUGGCAGCAGUGAGGAAUAUUGGUCAAUGGACGAGAGCCUGAACCAGCCAAGUAGCGUGAAGGAUGACUGCCCUAUGGGUCGUAAACUUCUUUUAUAUGGGAAUAAAAUGUUCCACGUGUGGGAUUUUGUAUGUACCAUAUGAAUAAGGAUCGGCUAACUCCUUGCCAGCAGCCGCGGUAAUACGGAGGAUCCGAGCGUUAUCCGGAUUUAUUGGGUUUAAAGGGAGCGUAGGUGGGUUGUUAAGUCAGUUGUGAAAGUUUGCGGCUCAACCGUACAAUUGCAGUUGAAACUGGCAGUCUUGAGUACACUAGAGGUGGGCGGAAUUCGUGGUGUAGCGGUGAAAUGCUUAGAUAUCACGAAGAACUCCGAUUGCGAAGGCAGCUCGCUGGACUGCAACUGACACUGAGGCUCGAAAGUGUGGGUAUCAAACAGGAUUAGAUACCCGGGUAGUC